UGGCGCGCGCGGCGGCAGCAGCUAAGGGGAGCGCGGGAGCUUUGAGUCGGGGACGGAGAGCCCGGGGCGCCUGGACUGUGGGCAGCGCGGUGCGAAUGGACUCCCGGCACGGGUGGGGCGGCUGAGAAAGGCCCGCAGCUCGCGACAUGCCCGGCGUCUAAGGCUUUCGGAGACCACAGUCUCCGCGGACCCCACAGUCUCCGCGGACCCCUGGCUGGAGCCCAAAGCGGGCCGGACCUCCUUCCUGCGACUCCCCUUCUGCGGCUCAGAGAGGAAUGCAGGAGAGCCCCCAAAUAUCGUUCCCUUCCCGCCCCCUAGGGAAACUGAGGCUGAAAGAAGCAGCCAGAGAAAGAAAAAAAAAAGUCAUGGAGUGGGGCGGCCCGAGCGACCUAAGGGACGGGGCAGCGCCAGCGACCGAGGGAAAUUAGUCGGGGUGGGGUACAGGGAGACAAGCCCCCAGAAUUUAGGAAACUCCGAAGCUUGGAGCUGGAGUCCUGAAUUGACUCCGAUGACAACUGCUCCGGAUCUGUGCCAGGAGCCACGCGCCGGGCUGCCACGCCCCGAGGGAGGGGGGCUCUAAAACCUAUUGCAUGGAAUCCCCACUCGGAAAGCCUCAGUAAACUCUAGAAUGCAACUACUGCAUGUUCCAAUCUCCCGGCACCUUCCCAGUGUCCCAGCUAGGACCCUGACCGCCUUAGCAAGAACUUACCUCUCCUUUGCAGUGGAAAAGAGGGAAUCCUGCCUAAAACGUACUUCACGGUGUUACAAGUCUGUAUUAUCGGGAAAUAACCUUAAUUUAUUUACCUGACAAAUCACUAGGUUUGAGCUUAGCCCAGGGGACGAAUCAUGGUGACAUUUCAGGCACCCUCAAACCUUAUCAAAGGGACUCAACCCUGAGUGGUUGAGGUCAGUUCUUCAGAUAGGAGAAAAGUUUGCCGGGCUCAGUGGCUGACGCCUGUAAUCCCAGCACUUUGGGAGGCCGAGGCGGGCGGAUCACAAGAGAAGAAGAUACAGAAAAUGAAAAUGAAAAUAAAAUUUGGUACUACAGCACAAAGGUCCAGCUUGCAGAAUUAAUUGACUGUCUAGACAAAGAUUAUUGGGAAGCAGAACUCUGCAAAAUUCUUGAAGAAAGGCGUGAAGAAAUCCACCCACACAUGGACAUAAUUGAAGACCUGACUGAUAAGGCUCGGGGCAGUAACAAAUCCUUUCUGGUGACAGCUAAUGAGCCUGAGGUAUUGGACCUGCUUGUGACUGUUGCUGUCCUGGGCUGGAAUGAAGUAAAGGUUUGCUGACUGGUGCCUAUACUUGAUGGAAUGAUACCCAGGACUUUCUGCUGUACUUGAACAAUGCCUUAAAAAAAGAUGAAGCCAUAAUUUAAAACUGUCACUUUAUUGGAAAGCAUUACAUGGUGCUCUGUUGCUGAGGAGAAACUACGUGUGGCAGGGGUUUAUAGUGGGCUACACAGAAUGAGAGAUCCGAGGACUGAAAUCAGUGAAACAGCAAUGAGAAAUAAUGCCAACAGUAUGAUCUGGCAAAUGUGAAUUAAAACUCUUCACAUUUCCCUUACCUCCUUGUGUUGCUGGCACAUUUACAGCGACAGUCUUGCUGUUUGCAGGAAGUGGCAGUUUGGUAAUUACUUUUCCUGCCAUAGUGACUGGAUUGCCUGUAAUUUGGAACGUCUGACCUGUGCUGGCAAUGGUUGUAGCAGAUGCGGCAGCUGUGCUGGUGGCUAAUGGGGUAUAAGACAUUUAAUAAGCUUCAGAUUUAAAAUAACCAGCAAUGUAGUGACUUCUAGGAAAGGACACCAGUGCAUGAAAUGUGGCUCAUUUUGUAUUUUUAAUAAAAACAUUCCUCUCCACUCAAAGUGAACUACGUAAAUGUUGAAAGUG